ACCUGGACCGUAAAUUCGUCCCUACACGCCGCUCCUCAAAUUACAUCUACGAAAUGUCAGUAUCAUGCGGCUGCUUCAAACCCAAAGUGAUAAAAAUUAGAAUAAUGAUUUAAGUAUACUCGAAAUAAGUUAAUUGUAAUAAAUGUUGUACCAAUUAGGACAUGAAUUCCAUGGAAUCCUGUAGCAAUA